GGGGACUUGGUCUAGUGGUAUGAUUCUCGCUUUGGGUGCAAGAGGUCCCGAGUUGGAUUCUCGGAAUGCCCC
rnacentral:tRNA from 2 species